ACAGCUCUCUCUAGAGUGGUUAAGACAGCUGCUGAAAUGUAGCAAAGCUUUGAUCCAAGAGCUUCAGUUCCCAGAGUCAUGAAAUCACCCCAGGAAGGGAAAUCGGGUUGAAAUGAGAUGUACAUUUUUAAUGGAGAAACAUCUUGUGGGCUUUGAGAAAAGAGGAAAAGGAGAUCAUGAACAUUCCAUCCUACACUAAUGGUGUGAAUAAUUCCAUGAGGGGCAAGCAACGUAACAUUUCUUUGGGUUCCAAAAUGAAUCAAAGCUGACUCAAUGUCCCUGGAGAACAAACAAUUUGAGAAAUCCAAAAAAGUCACCUUCUUGGAUUACCUCCCCUUCCAUUCUUUUAAACAAGAAAUCUAGAGCUAUGGUGUCCAGGAAAAAAAAAAAAAGAAUGCUAGUCUAUUUUGGUCACUGACGCUCUCGACCUGCGGUACAAGAUAUGGCACCACCAUACUUCUCCUUCCAACCUCAGGCGCAGAGAUCUUCACUGAAGCUCUCAAGACUAAAACAUCUAGUGUCUGGUCUACAUGGGCAUCCACAUGGCCACCUCCAUGAGAAAUCCUGUAUCCACAAAGGUAUUGCUUUUCAGUGAAAUCAGAACCCUACUACUAACUGAAACUAUAAACCCCAACUCACUUCCCAGUGCUCAAGUAUCCAGCCAAUAUCCCAGAAUUCCUUCCAUUUUCCCCUUGAGUCCUUUCCUUUCACAUCACACAAAUAAACAAAAAAUUAUUUGUA